ensembl:lncRNA
GUGCCCAGUGGCUGUGUACGAGGCUGAAGGUGCCCAGUGGCUGUGUACGAGGCUGAAGGUGCCCAGUGGCUGUGUACGAGGCUGAAGGGGCCCAGUGGCUGUGUACGAGGCUGAAGGGGCCCAGUGGCUGUGUACGACGCUGAAGGGGCCCAGUGGCUGUGUACGACGCUGAAGGGGCCCAGUGGCUGUGUACGACGCUGAAGGGGCCCAGUGGCUGUGUACGAGGCUGAAGGUCCCCAGUGGCUGUGUACGAGGCUGAAGCUGCCCAUUGGCUGUGUACGAGGCUGAAGCUGCCCAUUGGCUGUGUACGAGGCCGAAGCUGCCCAGGGGCUGUGUACGAGGCCGAAGGUCCCCAGGGGCUGUGUACGAGGCCGAAGGUCCCCAGGGGCUGUGUACGAGGCCGAAGGUCCCCAGUGGCUAUGUACGAGGCCGAAGGUCCCCAGUGGCUGUGUACGAGGCCGAAGGUGCCCAGCGGCUGUGUACGA